AUUAAAAUGGCAGAUAAUGUGUGGAAUUUAGAAUUCCUUUAUGAAUUAAGAUCUUUUAAUU
rnacentral:tRNA from 1 species